CUACGGGACGCAGCAGUGAGGAAUCUUGCGCAAUGGGGGAAACCCUGACGCAGCCACGCCGCGUGGGUGAAGAAGGCUUUCGGGUCGUAAAGCCCUGUCAGGUGGGAAGAAACGCAUUGAGUCGAAUAAACUCUUUGCCUGACGGUACCACCAAAGGAAGCACCGGGUAACUCCGUGCCAGCAGCCGCGGUAAUACGGAGGGUGCAAGCGUUGUUCGGAAUUACUGGGCGUAAAGGGUGUGCAGGCGGCUACAUAAGUCGGAUGUGAAAGCCCUCGGCUUAACCGAGGAAGUGCAUCCGAUACUGUGUAGCUUGAGUCCCGGAGAGGGGGAUGGAAUUCCCGGUGUAGAGGUGAAAUUCGUAGAUAUCGGGAGGAACACCAGUGGCGAAGGCGAUCCCCUGGACGAGGACUGACGCUCAUACACGAAAGCGUGGGUAGCAAACAGGAUUAGAUACCCGUGUAGUC
rnacentral:rRNA from 1 species